rnacentral:sRNA from 1 species
AGGACGCCUGCGCAUUGUGUCGCCGACGUUGUGUAGUCUCCCCUGGGAAAGGAGGGUCAGGAGGAGGUUCGAGUGAAGAUCAAAGACUUGAAUGAACACAUUGUUUGCUGCCUAUGCGCCGGCUACUUCGUGGAUGCCACCACCAUCACAGAGUGUCUUCAUACUUUCUGCAAGAGUUGUAUUGUGAAGUACCUCCAAACUAGCAAGUACUGCCCCAUGUGCAACAUUAAGAUCCACGAGACACAGCCACUGCUCAACCUCAAACUGGACCGGGUCAUGCAGGACAUCGUGUAUAAGCUGGUGCCUGGCUUGCAAGACAGUGAAGAGAAACGGAUUCGGGAAUUCUACCAGUCCCGAGGUUUGGACCGGGUCACCCAGCCCACUGGGGAAGAGCCAGCACUGAGCAACCUCGGCCUCCCCUUCAGCAGCUUUGACCACUCUAAAGCCCACUACUAUCGCUAUGAUGAGCAGCUGAACCUGUGCCUGGAGCGGCUGAGUUCUGGCAAAGACAAGAAUAAAAGCGUCCUGCAGAGCUGAGGUACGCCAUCUCCGGAGGGUCCUGUGUCACCGCUUGAUGCUAAACCCUCAGCAUGUGCAGCUCCUUUUUGACAAUGAAGUUCUCCCUGAUCACAUGACAAUGAAGCAGAUAUGGCUCUCCCGCUGGUUCGGCAAGCCAUCCCCUUUGCUUUUACAAUACAGUGUGAAAGAGAAGAGGAGG